ensembl:lncRNA
CAAAAUAGUCCAAAUUGUUGAAGGGAAAAGAAAAAAAGGACCUGUUAAAAAAAAUAAAAGAACAAAUUUAACAGAAAAGUGGUGCGUGCAUAUGUAUUCACCCCCUUCGCUAUGAAGCCCCUCAAUAAGAUCUGGUGCAACCAAUUACCUUCAGAAGUCACAUAAUUAGUCAAAUAAAGUCCACCUGUGUGCAAUCUAAGUGACACAUGAUCUGUCACAUGAUCUCAGUAUAUAUUCACCUGUUCUGAAAGGCCCCAGAGUCUGCAACACCACUAAGCAAGCGGCACCAUGAAGACCAAGGAGCUCUCCAAACAGGUCAGGGACAAAGUUGUGGAGAAGUACAGAUCAGGGUUGGGUUAUAAAAAAUAUCAAAAACUUUGAGCAUCCCACGGAGCACCAUUAAAUCCAUUAUUAAAAAAUUGAAAGAAUAUGGCACAACAACAAACCUGCCAAGAGAGGGCCGCCCACCAAAACUCACAGACCAGGCAAGGAGGGCAUUAAUCAGAGACACAACAAAGAGACCAAAGAUAACCCUGAACGAGCUGCAAAACUCCACAGCGGAGAUUGGAGUAUCUGUCCAUAGGACCACUUUAAGCCGUUGUCGUGUCUUUGCCAUCAUUAAAAUGAGGACCGUUAUUUUAUCAAAUCAAUUCUCUGUGUAAUUAUUAUUAUGUGAUUAAACUAAUCAUGUAAAUGUAAUUAACUUGGAAGUCGGGGCACCAAGGAAAGUAUUCAGAUUCCAAAGUUAUCAUUUUCCUAAUUUAACUUUCAGAUAUUUUAAUAUCUGAUCAAUUAGUCUUCUAAUUAAUGAAUUAUUCUUUACCUCACGUUAGUCUCAUUCCAAACAUCGUAAAUUAUUGGUUAUCUGCAUGAACCCAGUCUUCACUACGAAUCAUCCAUACAUCAAUUGUCUCAAUCAUUUAUUUAUUAACUAACUAAAUAAUCACAGGAAUGCACACACAAACAAAGUAGAUAUGGUUACAAGGAAAUGAUAGGGGAUGUGCCCUAGUGGGCUAAACCGGCAUGGCGGCUUGAUAGACAAAAGGACUGAGAAGGGCGCGAAAGACAAAAGACACUACACAGUUGAUAAUUAUAACAAUUGAAAUGCUAAUCCUUUGCACAUGAGCGCUCACUCAUUCGGGAAUAACUGCAAUCAAUAUAUAUAUUUACGCUCAGUGUGUCGUCAUGAUCUAUGUUGGAAUCGUCCUUCUUUCUGUUGGAAGUUCAUCCGCCCAUCUCUCUGCGUCCCUGGAGUCUUUGGUUGGAAUGGUAACUUUAGAGUAACAUUCAGAAAUAUUCUAAUGAAUAGAUGUUUCGGUGGUUGUCAGUCCUCGCGUCUCAUUGGUACAUCAUUUCUAGCUGCAGACUAGUAAUUAGUAUUGAAGAUUUGCUCGUAUUCUGUCGGAAUCGAUAGUCUCAGAGAUACAACAACCAUUACAACCUUAGCUUAUACUCAGGUUUUCUGGUCUCAACUCAAACCUUAGCCCUCUCGGUAAUCAAGGUAAGCUUGGUGUGAAGGGAAAUUCCCAAUGUGGGGGUUAUAUCCAGAACAGUAAGAAAGGGCUGUCCCAUGACGCCGGAUCAAUGUCUGUGCUCAUGGGUCAGGCCUAUGACUUAGUUAAACUACAAAGGGAAUUGUAGUUUCCUUCAUUAAACAGUUUAAAAUCACAUUACAUAAUUUCACAAAUAGUUUCAUCUUUACUCAUUCAUUUUAUACAACAAUUAGAUGCAAACCCCACAACUGAGACUCUUGUAUAAACAGAGUUAUGGUAAUGUGGCUGUAUUGUCUCUCAUGAGUUUCACAAACAUUAAACAAAAUGGGCCGGUCGUAGCUGGAUUCUCCCCCGACCGUGUACACAUUCUCCAAAACAUGGACAUUGUUCAGUUCUCAGGUUCUAUGAUGGAGAAGAGGUUCCUUUGUUCUCCUGUGAAAUCUUCUCUCUAUACUGCCUGGCCAUGAGGAGAGAGACUCCUCUAGGAAUUUGUGACCUGUGAUAACAGAGCCUGGGUGUAGGGGGAAGAGAGAGGUGGUGAGAGAGAGGGGGGAUGGUUGCUCGCUAUACCCAAAGAGUGCCACGUCAUGACACCGUACACUCCACAGAGCUGGGCUUUAGGGAAGAGUAGCCGGGAAAAAAGCCAUUGCUUAAAGAAAAAAAGAAGCAAACACAAAAGGCAUGUGGGAGACUCCCCAAACAUAUGGAAGAAGGUGAUGAGACUAAAAUGUAGCUUUUUGGCCAUCAAGGAAAAUGCUAUGUCUGGUACAAACCCAACACCUCUCAUCACCCCGAGAACACCAUCGGCAGGGACUGGGAAACUGGUCAGAAUUGAAGGAAUGGUGGAUGGUGCUAAAUACAGGGAAAUUCUUGAAGGAAACCUGUUUCAGUCUUCCAGAGAUUUGAGACUGGGACGGAGGUUCACCUUCCAGCAGGACAAUGUAACUAAGCAUACUGUUAAAGCAACACUGAAGUGGUUUAAGGGGAACAUUUAAAUGUCUUGGAAUGGCCUAGUCAAAGCCCAGACCCCAAUCAAAUUGAGAAUCUGUGGUUUGACUUAAAGAUUGCUGUACACCAGCUGGAUCCCAUCCAACUUGAAGGAGCUGGAGCAGUUUUGCCUUGAAGAAUGGGCAAAAAUCCCAGUGGCUAUAUGUGCCAAGCUUAUAAAGACAUACCCCAAGAGACUUGCAGCUGUAAAAAAAUUGCUGCAAAAAAAGUGUCUCUACAAAGUUUUGACUUUGGGGAGGUGAAAAGUUAUGCACGCUCAAGUAUUUCUUGUUUGUUUCACAAUAAAACAUAUUUUUGCAUCUUCAAAGUGAUAGGCAUGUUGUGUAAAUCAAAUGAUACAAACCCACCAAAAAUCUAUUUUAAUUCCAGGUUGUAAGACAACAAAAAAGGAAAAAUGUCAUGGGGCUGAAUAGUUUCGCAAGCCACUGUAUAUGGUAACUGCCAAAAUAAUGGAAACACGUAAAUAAGGGAUACAAAGAAUAUAGGUGCUUCCACAGAGGUGUGGUUCUUAAGUUAUUGAGCAAUUAGCAUCCCAUCAUGCUUAGGGACAUGUAUAAAAAUGGCCAGUUGCCCAUUAUAUUGGGUACCAUGGCUAGAAGAAGAGAUCUCAGUGACUUCAAAAGAGGGGUCUCAAAGGAGUUUAGGGAGAUUAAAGUGUGUGUGUGUGUGUGUGUGUGUGUGUGUGUGUGUGUGUGUGUGUGUGUGUGUGUGUGUGUGUGUGUGUGUGUGUGUGUGUGUGUGUGUGUGUGUCAGUCACCAGAUCUCAACCCAAUCGACCACAGCAUUUUCAACCUCUGUCAACAAAACACCAAAAUUAAAGCGGUUCUGGUGGCUCGUAGUGGCUCAACACCUUAUUAAAAUCCAUUAUGUUGGUGUUGGUGUUUCCUUUAUUUUGACAGAUACCUGUAGAUCUCUGUGGAUUUGUGCACUGCCUGGCACUUAACUGGUGCCUUGGAACAUAGUGUAUGUGUCUGUGUGUGUGUCUUGGUUUUUCCGUGUGAAGUCAUUUGGAUAUUUCUGCUUUGAUGAACUGUAAGUCAAUGCUAUGCUCUAAUCAUUGUACUGAGAGCAUUCUACAGUAUAUAGCAUUCUAGAGCUCCUUUUUAUAUGUUUAUAGGUCUAUCUAUAGGUCUAUCUAUAGGUCUAUCUAUAGGUCUGGCUAUAGGUCUAUCUAUAGGUAUAUCUAUAGGUCUAUCUAUAGGUCUGGCUGUAGGUCUAUCUAUAGGUCUAUCUAUAGGUCUAUCUAUAGGUCUAUCUAUAGGUCUAUCUAUAGGUCUGGCUAUAGGUCUAUCUAUAGGUCUAUCUAUAGGUCUAUCUAUAGUUAUAUCUAUAGGUAUAUAUAGGUCUAUCUAUAGGUCUAUCUAUAGGUAUAUAUAGGUCUAUCUAUAGGUCUGGCUGUAGGUCUAUCUAUAGGUCUAUCUAUAGGUCUAUCUAUAGGUCUAUCUAUAGGUCUAUCUAUAGGUCUAUCUAUAGGUAUGGCAAUAGGUCUAUCUAUAGGUAUGGCUAUAGGUAUGGCAAUAGUUUCUAUCUAUAGGUCUAUCUAUAGGUCUAUCUAUAGGUCUAUCUAUAGGUAUGGCAAUAGGUCUAUCUAUAGGUAUGGCUAUAGGUAUGGCAAUAGUUUCUAUCUAUAGGUAUAUCUAUAGGUAUAUAUAUAGGUCUGGCUAUAGUUUCUAUCUAUAGUUAUAUCUAUAGGUCUAUCUAUAGGUAUAUAUAGGUCUAUCUAUAGGUCUGGCUAUAGGUCUAUCUAUAGGUCUGGCUAUAGGUCUAUCUAUAGGUAUGGCUGUAGGUCUAUCUAUAGGUAUGGCUAUAGGUCUAUCUAUAGGUCUGGCUAUAGGUAUGGCAAUAGUUUCUAUCUAUAGGUAUAUCUAUAGGUAUAUAUAGGUCUGGCUAUAGUUUCUGUCUAUAGUUAUAUCUAUAGGUCUAUCUAUAGGUAUAUUUAGGUCUAUCUAUAGGUAUGGCUAUAGGUCUAUCUAUAGAUCUGGCUAUAGGUCUAUCUAUAGGUCUGGCUGUAGGUCUAUCUAUAGGUCUGGCUAUAGGUAUAUCUAUAGGUCUGGCUAUAGGUAUAUCUAUAGGUAUGACUAUGGGUAUAUCUAUAAAUCUGGCUAUAGGUCUAUAUAUAGGUAUAUCUAUAGGUAUGGCUAUAGGUCUAUCUAUAGGUGUGGCUAUAGGUCUAUAUAUAGGUCUAUAUAUAGGUAUAUCUAUAGGUCUGGCUAUAGGUCUAUAUAUAGGUAUGGCUAUAGGUAUGGCUAUAGAUCUAUCUAUAGGUCUGGCUAUAGGUCUAUCUAUAGGUAUAUCUAUAGGUAUAUCUAUAGGUCUGGCUAUAGGUCUGGCUAUAGGUCUAUCUAUAGGUUUAUAUAUAGGUAUAUCUAUAGGUGUGGCUAUAGGUCUAUCUAUAGGUUUAUAUAUAGGUCUAUCUAUAGGUUUAUAUAUAGGUCUAUCUAUAGGUUUAUAUAUAGGUAUAUCUAUAGGUGUGGCUAUAGGUCUAUCUAUAGGUUUAUAUAUAGGUAUAUCUAUAGGUCUGGCUAUAGGUCUAGCUAUAGGUCUAUAUAUAGGUCUAUCUAUAGGUUUAUAUAUAGGUAUAUCUAUAGGUGUGGCUAUAGGUCUAUCUAUAGGUUUAUAUAUAGGUAUAUCUAUAGGUCUGGCUAUAGGUCUAGCUAUAGGUCUAUAUAUAGGUCUAUCUAUAGGUUUAUAUAUAGGUAUAUCUAUAGGUGUGGCUAUAGGUCUAUCUAUAGGUAUAUCUAUAGGUAUAUCUAUAGGUCUGGCUAUAGGUCUGGCUAUAGGUCUAUCUAUAGGUUUAUAUAUAGGUAUAUCUAUAGGUGUGGCUAUAGGUCUAUCUAUAGGUUUAUAUAUAGGUCUAUCUAUAGGUUUAUAUAUAGGUAUAUCUAUAGGUGUGGCUAUAGGUCUAUCUAUAGGUUUAUAUAUAGGUCUAUCUAUAGGUUUAUAUAUAGGUAUAUCUAUAGGUGUGGCUAUAGGUCUAUCUAUAGGUUUAUAUAUAGGUAUAUCUAUAGGUUUAUAUAUAGGUAUAUCUAUAGGUGUGACUAUAGGUCUAUCUAUAGGUUUAUAUAUAGGUAUAUCUAUAGGUGUGGAUAUAGGUCUAUCUAUAGGUAUGGCUGUAAGUCUAUCUAUAGGUAUAUCUAUAGGUGUUUUAGUGACUUUAACCUGAGUGGUCAGUAUCCUAGGCAACCAUGAAGUUUGUCCGGAUUGCCUUUAGAUACGGCUCUUUACGGCUCUGGUACAGCCUCCUAGGUCCUUUCUGGUCAACAAACCUCUGUAGAUUUGUUUUCCUAGAGCUUUUGACCAUCCUCUCCUCUUCUCUCACAUCAUUUUCUCUAUGCACUUCUAAUGGUGGUUCCUCAAUCAGUGAUACCAGACCCAUGCUGCUCCAUCAUCAGACUCCAUUGUGACUAACACCAACGCACAUAUCACCUCCCCUCUAUCUAGCUGUCACCCACACUACCAACUCUCACCUCUUCUCAGCCAUUUCCAUUUUGUUUUCACUAUCGUUCUGGAAGGGUAGACUAAACACACUGGAAGAACUGAAGGAAAGUAGACCCAGUAGAAGAACAAGGGAGGAAAAAAGGAGAGGAACCUCUACAGAACAAUGGAACACACCUCUGAGAACCUACCGAUACUGGAACCCAGAGAACUGACACCAGUGAUUCUGGAACCCUUCGUGAUUCACCUCCAUGUCCUCUGUCUGUUGUUCUAGUUAAUAACCCAGUGACUCUCCUGCUGCUGGUUGGUUCUUCUCUGUGUGUUUCUGUGUGAAUAAGACAUUAUCAUGUCUCUUCAGUUCUGUUCUAGCUUUACUGGAUGUUUAUUACUUGAAGGAUAAUGUUUAGUUCAGACUCCUUUUUCAUACCUGUCAAUGUCAUUGUAAAAUGGGUGUGGAGGGGUGGGGUUGUAGUGGUGGGGGUUUGAGGUGUGUUUGGGGAGUGAAGGGAGGGAGAGGGGGGGAUUCAUAAGGUAAUGUCAAAAAUUCUGGGUCAAACCUUCAUUCCACAGCCAUACCGGAGACAUUUUGUACGCUGUUUGUUGCACAAACUUUUCAAGAAGCAUUCUGCACUGUGUAAAGGGGUACAUAGGAGGGGUUACCGAUCGGUACAGUCCAAUGGUUUUGAAUCAUGAACUUGUAAAUACGUUUUCAUAAAGCAAAACUUUUGAUAAUGUUUUAAAGGUAUCUGUAAAAAUAGAUGUACAUAAGACCCCAGGUAAAAACAGGAGUGUAGAUGUACAUAAGACCCCAGGUAAAAACAGGAGUGUAGACCAUAUAUGAAUUUAUUUGUACACAAGAGCACUGGAUUUCUUUACUACUUGAUUGUAACAAACAUUAAUUAUCAGCCAAAGUGUUUUUAUUCUUUUUUUCCUGUCUGUUUUUAAUUCUGUUUUGCUUUUUAACAGUAAAACAUUGUAGAAAUUAGGUUGUUUAUUCUGUAUUUAAUUCUGUUUCAAUAGGUUUAGUUGUUUUGUGUUUUAAACGAGGGGUUAUCAUUUAAUUUAUUGGUGCCUUGUUUGUGCUCCUGUAUAUUUUACUUGGUCGUUUCUGUUUUGGUGUUUUGUGUCUGUAGGAUGGGGAGAGGGAGUUCAAACUUAGCAACUUCUGUACUUACAUGAAAUAUCUGUACUGUAUGCCAAAAUGGUCUCACUCACAUUUCUAUGAAAUCAAGCUGUUGAUAAAUAUCUCUAUAUAUUGAUAUAUUAAAUUUAUAAAAAUUGGCCAAUU